GCCUGGGUGGUGGAAUUGGUAGACACGCAGCGUUCAGGGCGCUGUGGGCUUUCGUCCGUGGGAGUUCAAAUCUCCCCCCAGGCACUA
rnacentral:tRNA from 1 species